rnacentral:rRNA from 1 species
AACCUCCGCAAUGUGAGAAAUCGCGACGGGGGGAUCCCAAGUGCCAUUCUUAACGGGAUGGCUUUUCAUUAGUGUAAAGAGCUUUUGGAAUAAGAGCUGGGCAAGACCGGUGCCAGCCGCCGCGGUAACACCGGCAGCUCUAGUGGUAACAAUUUUUAUUGGGCCUAAAGCGUCCGUAGCCGGUUUAAUAAGUCUCUGGUGAAAUCCUGUAGCUUAACUGUGGGAAUUGCUGGAGAUACUAUUAGACUUGAGACCGGGAGAGGUUAGAGGUACUCCCAGGGUAGAGGUGAAAUUCUGUAAUCCUGGGAGGACCGCCUGUUGCGAAGGCGUCUAACUGGAACGGUUCUGACGGUGAGGGACGAAAGUUAGGGGCGCGAACCGGAUUAGAUACCCGGGUAGUCCUAACUGUAACGAUGCGGACUUGGUGUUGGGGUGGCUUUGAGCUGCUUCAGUGCCGAAGGGAAGCUGUUAAGUCCGCCGCCUGGGAAGUACGGUCGCAAGACUGAAACUUAAAGGAAUU